CCUCCGCACCCGUGCGUGGAGGUGUCGGGCUCCGGCUGCGGGAGGCGGGAGAUUUAAACCGGGCGGCCUGGCGCGCGCAGAAGCCGCGCUGCCUUCGGCAUCUCCGUCCGGCGUCCGCGUUCUCGCCCUCUCCGGCUCUUCCCGAACCCCACCGAAGCCCGGCUCUCGGUCCGUUUUUUUGAUGAACUCCUAGACCCUUUCUGUUCCUUCGCUACCAAAUUCGUUUACUAACAAAUACCAAACCGGUCAGAAUAUCGGAAUUAAGGAACUGUUUGUGAGACCUCUGAGGCAUUCCCUGUUUCCUUUCCUAAGCCCGGGUCCCUCCCUGCCUCCGGGGUGGCACCGCACCUGCCAGGCCCUCCGAGAGACCAUCUCUACCGGGCUAUAUGUUUCUGAGCCUCGGUCAUUCCUGAAUCGGGGCGCUUCUCAGUACCAGUGCCCGCACGCGAUUUAUCGUAGUGUAAAGUGUUUUCCUCCACGGUAGGCUUCUACAAGUGAACUAGAAAAGACGACCAUUAGAUAUCUUGGAAUAUGGAGCUUCACAAAUCUGCAAUCCCAGAGCAAUAAACAGCAACAAUCUUUUGCACUAUCAAGCAAACCUCUGGUUUAUCUCUUAAAUAAAACUUCAAUUGAUAUUUAAAAACAUACUAAGAAUUCUA